rnacentral:rRNA from 1 species
CGCUGGCGGCGUGCCUAAUACAUGCAAGUCGAACGCUUCUUUCCUCCCGAGUGCUUGCACUCAAUUGGAAAGAGGAGUGGCGGACGGGUGAGUAACACGUGGGUAACCUACCCAUCAGAGGGGGAUAACACUUGGAAACAGGUGCUAAUACCGCAUAACAGUUUAUGCCGCAUGGCAUAAGAGUGAAAGGCGCUUUCGGGUGUCGCUGAUGGAUGGACCCGCGGUGCAUUAGCUAGUUGGUGAGGUAACGGCUCACCAAGGCCACGAUGCAUAGCCGACCUGAGAGGGGU